GGGCACAUGGUGUAGUUGGUUAUCACGCUCGCUUAGCAUGGAGCCUCACAGCUGUACAGAUUUGCGAGAGGUGUUGGGUUCAAUUCCCAAUGUGUCCA
rnacentral:tRNA from 1 species